AGAGUUUGAUCCUGGCUCAGAUUGAACGCUAGCGGCAUGCUUAACACAUGCAAGUCGAACGGUAACAGGCCUAGCUUGCUAGGCGCUGACGAGUGGCGGACGGGUGAGUAAUGCGUAGGAAUCUACCAUAUAGUGGGGGAUAACCUAGGGAAACUUAGGCUAAUACCGCAUGUGCCUUACGGGGUAAAGCAGGGGAUCUUCGGACCUUGUGCUAUUUGAUGAGCCUACGUCGGAUUAGCUUGUUGGUGGGGUAAAGGCCUACCAAGGCGACGAUCCGUAGCUGGUCUGAGAGGAUGAUCAGCCACACUGGGACUGAGACACGGCCCAGACUCCUACGGGAGGCAGCAGUGGGGAAUAUUGGACAAUGGGCGAAAGCCUGAUCCAGCAAUGCCGCGUGUGUGAAGAAGGCCUGCGGGUUGUAAAGCACUUUCAGUAGGGAGGAAGGUCUUAAUGCUAAUACCAUUAAGAAUUGACGUUACCUACAGAAGAAGCACCGGCUAACUCUGUGCCAGCAGCCGCGGUAAUACAGAGGGUGCGAGCGUUAAUCGGAAUUACUGGGCGUAAAGCGUGCGUAGGUGGUUAGAUAAGUCAGAUGUGAAAGCCCUGGGCUUAACCUGGGAAUUGCGUUUGAUACUGU
rnacentral:rRNA from 1 species